rfam:Canis lupus familiaris chromosome 19, whole genome shotgun sequence.
AGGAGCAACAGCCCUAGUGGCGGCGGCCAGCUCUGCAGCCCUGGAGUCAGCCCCCGCAGUAGCUCCGGAGCUCUCCGUCUGCAGGGCCUGGAGGCUCCGGGGCAGG